GACGAACCGAGCGAACGUUAUUCGGAAUCACUGGGCUUAAAGGGCGCGUAGGCGGGUCCGCAAGUCAGGGGUGAAAGCCCCCAGCUCAACUGGGGAAGUGCCUCUGAUACUGCGGGCCCCGAGGGAGGUAGGGGCGUGCGGAACUUCCGGUGGAGCGGUGAAAUGCGUAGAUAUCGGAAGGAACACCGGUGGCGAAAGCGGCGCGCUGGACCUCUUCUGACGCUGAGGCGCGAAAGCCAGGGGAGCGAACGGG
rnacentral:rRNA from 1 species